AGGGGACAGACAGGAGGCAGACACGAGACAGACAGGAGGCAGACAGGAGACAGUCAGGAGACAGACCGGAGACAGACAGGAGACAGACAGGAGACAAACAUGAGACAGACAGGAGACAGACAGGAGACAGACCGGAGACAGACAGGAGAUAGACCGGAGACAGACAGGAGACAGACAGGAGGCAGACAGGAGACAGACAGGAUACAGACAGGAUGCAGACAGGAUGCAGACAGGAGACAGACAGGAGACAGACAGGAGACAUACAGGAGACAGACAGGAGAUAGACAGGAGGCAGACACAGGAAAGGCAGGAGGCAGACAGGAGACAUACAGGAGACAGCAGGGGACAGACAGGAGGCAGACACGAGACAGACAGGAGGCAGACAGGAGACAGACAGGGGACAGACAGGAGACAGACAGGAGGCAGACAGGAGACAGACAGGAUACAGACAGGAUGCAGACAGGAUGCAGACAGGAGACAGACAGGAGACAGACAGGAGUAUACAGGAGACAGACAGGAGAUAGACAGGAGGCAGACACAGGAAAGGCAGGAGACAGACAGGAGACAAACAGGAGACAGACAGGAGACAGACCGGAGACAGACAGGAGACAGACAGGAGGCAGACAGGAGACAGACAGGAUACAGACAGGAUGCAGACAGGAUGCAGACAGGAGACAGACAGGAGACAGACAGGAGACAUACAGGAGACAGACAGGAGAUAGACAGGAGGCAGACACAGGAAAGGCAGGAGGCAGACAGGAGACAGACAGGGGACAGACAGGAGACAGACCAGAGGCAGACACGAGACAGUCAGGAGGCAGACAGGAGACAGACAGGGGACAGACAGGAGACAGACAGGAGAUAGACAGGAGGCAGACACAGGAAAGGCAAGAGGCAGACAGGAGACAGACAGGGGACAGACAGGAGACAGACAGGAGGCAGACAGGAGAUAGACCGGAGACAGACAGGAGACAGACAGGAGGCAGAC
ensembl:lncRNA